rnacentral:rRNA from 1 species
UACGGGGGGUGCGAGCGUUGUCCGGAAUCACUGGGCGUAAAGGGCGCGUAGGUGGUUUGAUAAGGGUGUGGUGAAAGCCCGGGGCUCAACCCCGGGUCUGCCGUGCCGACUGUCAAACUCGAGGGCUGUAGAGGCAGACGGAAUUCCGGGUGUAGCGGUGGAAUGCGUAGAGAUCCGGAGGAAGACCGGUGGCGAAGGCGGUCUGCUGGGCAGUUGCUGACGCUGAUGCGCGACAGCGUGGGGAGCAAACAGG